CUACAGAGAGGAUGUUGUGGUCAGGCAUGCUAAAUCUGAUACUCACAUCAGAUGCAAUAAAGCAGAGCAAGAAUUACGAGCAGGUAACACUUUACCAAGAGCAAUAGCCCCUUUAGGAGACACUGAGCACUGGGCACUAGAGGGUUGCUUCAGAUUAAUGUACCAGUUGAUGCGGCAAGAAAUUGCACAUCACACCAAUUAUAAACCAUUCCUGGAACUGAUGGUGGCUUGUGGAUGCACCUAUUUUGAAGCUCUAAAGGUUGGUAGUAAUACCAAUUACUGCAGCCGCAGAAUCAUUGAUGAAAUCCUUGAGUUAAUAGACGAGUCCAUUUUACUACCCCUGGC